UCUCCGUUGGUGAACCAGCGGAGGGAUCAUUACAGAGUUGCAAAACUCCCAAACCAUUGUGAACGUUACCUAUCCCGUUGCUUCGGCGGGCGGCCCGGGCCCCGCGCCCGACGCCCCCCGGCCCCCCGUGGGCGCCCGCCGGAGGUAAACCAAACCCUAUUUUAACGACGUUUCUCCUGAGUGGCACAAGCAAAUAAUUAAAACUUUUAACAACGGAUCUCUUGGUUCUG
rnacentral:misc_RNA from 1 species